UAGUCCACGCCCUAAACGAUGUUUACUCGAUGUUUGACUCGUAGAUUUGAGCAUCCAAGCGAAAGCGUUAAGUAAACCACCUGGGGAGUACGUUCGCAAGAAUGAAACUCAAAGGAAUUGACGGGGGCCCGCACAAGCGGUGGAGCAUGUGGUUUAAUUCGAUGAUACGCGAGGAACCUUACCAGGGCUUAAAUGUUAGGUGACAGAUCUAGAAAUAGAUUUUUCUUCGGACACUUAACAAGGUGCUGCAUGGUUGUCGUCAGCUCGUGCCGUGAGGUGUCAGGUUAAGUCCUAUAACGAGCGCAACCCCUGUUGUUAGUUGCCAGCGAGUAAUGUCGGGAACUCUAGUAAGACUGCCAGUGCAAACUGUGAGGAAGGUGGGGAUGACGUCAAAUCAUCACGGCCCUUACGUCCUGGGCUACACACGUGCUACAAUGGUAGGUACAGAGAGCAGCCAAUGCGCGAGCAUGAGCAAAUCUAUAAAACCUAUCUCAGUUCGGAUCGG
rnacentral:rRNA from 1 species